AAAAACUAACAUAGCAUAAAUUGUCUUAAAACUAUUUGUUUGCCUGUAUGAAGCGUGUACACAUUUACAGCUUUGUUUCUGCUAGCUUGCAGGAAUUGUAACUUACAUAAAUGGUUGAAGACAACUUAUUGGCCUUCAUGAGACUCAGAUAAAUGAGAGGAUCACACCUGUCGACAACAAACAAACUACUGACUUUUCAGUCAGAAAUGAUCACACCGCCUGGUUGAAGUCUCCAUAUGCAAGUCAACAAAGCAGAGAGGAAACACCUGAUUGACAACAUGUGAGUCUCAAUCUCAACCUGUGACUGGGAAGACCAUAACCAUGACGCACACCAUCCUGAACAAAGUCUGAACUCAGUGACUUGUUACUCUCAACCCAGAACAAGAAUCCUUCUAUCACCGAUUUUUCUUCUACAAUAGGUUAUCUCUUAUAUGGAUGCAUGCUUUUUUUUUUUGUUUUGUUUGUUUGUUUUGUUUUCCAGAUCUCAGUAAUACCGUGAGGAAACUGGACAGAAAACAGAAUCUGUUCUUUUUUUAACUGAAUUCUUAAAUAGCAAUUGUUUCUUUAAGUUGAUUACUCGUAAUCUGUAUUUUUAUUUAAUUUGUAUUUAUUUUCUUUAUAACUUUCUGUAUAGAAAUGCUGACAAGUUACACUUCCUUGUGUGUUGUACUGUAAUUUUUAUGGUAACAUUCUGUUAAGAACAGCGACCGGUAAUUUACCAUAAAGUUUUUUUGUUUGUUUUUUUUUUACAAUAAAAUGUCAAUAUAUCAUACAGUCUGGCCGUGUUUUUCACUUA